UACGGGGGGGGCAAGCGUUGUUCGGAUUUACUGGGCGUAAAGGGCGGGUAGGCGGCCACCGCAAGUCGACUGUGAAAUCUCCGGGCUUAACCCGGAAAGGUCAGCCGAUACUGCGGGGCUAGAGUGCAGAAGGGGCAACUGGAAUUCUCGGUGUAGCGGUGAAAUGCGUAGAUAUCGAGAGGAACACCUGCGGCGAAGGCGGGUUGCUGGGCUGACACUGACGCUGAUGUGCGAAAGCUAGGGGAGCGAACGGG
rnacentral:rRNA from 1 species